GCGGAAGGAUCAUUACUGAGUGAGGGCCCUCUGGGUCCAACCUCCCACCCGUGUUUAUUGUACCUUGUUGCUUCGGUGCGCCCGCCUCACGGCCGCCGGGGGGCUUCUGCCCCCGGGUCCGCGCGCACCGGAGACACUAUUGAACUCUGUCUGAAGAUUGCAGUCUGAGCAUAAACUAAAUAAGUUAAAACUUUCAACAACGGAUCUCUUGGUUCCGGCAUCGAUGAAGAACGCAGCGAAAUGCGAUAACUAAUGUGAAUUGCAGAAUUCAGUGAAUCAUCGAGUCUUUGAACGCACAUUGCGCCCCCUGGUAUUCCGGGGGGCAUGCCUGUCCGAGCGUCAUUGCUGCCCUCAAGCACGGCUUGUGUGUUGGGCUCCGUCCCCCCGGGGACGGGUCCGAAAGGCAGCGGCGGCACCGAGUCCGGUCCUCGAGCGUAUGGGGCUUUGUCACCCGCUCUGUAGGCCCGGCCGGCGCCAGCCGACAACCAAUCAUCCUUUUUUCAGGUUGACCUCGGAUCAGGUAGGGAUACCCGCUGAACUUAAGCAUAUCAAUAAGCGGAGGAAAAGAAACCAACAGGGAUUACCUCAGUAACGGCGAGUGAAGCGGUAAGAGCUCAAAUUUGAAAGCUGGCUCCUUCGGGGUCCGCAUUGUAAUUUGCAGAGGAUGUUUCGGGAGCAGCCCCCAUCUAAGUGUCCUGGAACGGACCGUCAUAGAGGGUGAGAAUCCCGUAUGGGAUGGGGUGUCUGCGCCCAUGUGAAACUCCU
rnacentral:rRNA from 1 species